rnacentral:rRNA from 1 species
AUGAACGCUGGCGGCGUGCCUAAUACAUGCACGUCGAGCGAACAGACGAGGAGCUUGCUCCUCUGACGUUAGCGGCGGACGGGUGAGUAACACGUGGAUAACCUACCUAUAAGACUGGGAUAACUUCGGGAAACCGGAGCUAAUACCGGAUAAUAUAUUGAACCGCGUGGUUCAAUAGUGAAAGACGGUUUUGCUGUCACUUAUAGAUGGAUCCGCGCCGCAUUAGCUAGUUGGUAAGGUAACGGCUUACCAAGGCAACGAUGCGUAGCCGACCUGAGAGGGUGAUCGGCCACACUGGAACUGAGACACGGUCCAGACUCCUACGGGAGGCAGCAGUAGGGAAUCUUCCGCAAUGGGCGAAAGCCUGACGGAGCAACGCCGCGUGAGUGAUGAAGGUCUUCGGAUCGUAAAACUCUGUUAUUAGGGAAGAACAAAUGUGUAAGUAACUAUGCACGUCUUGACGGUACCUAAUCAGAAAGCCACGGCUAACUACGUG